rnacentral:rRNA from 1 species
AGUCGAACGCUUCUUUUUCCACCGGAGCUUGCUCCACCGGAAAAAGAAGAGUGGCGAACGGGUGAGUAACACGUGGGUAACCUGCCCAUCAGAAGGGGAUAACACUUGGAAACAGGUGCUAAUACCGUAUAACAAUCAAAACCGCAUGGCUUUGAUUUGAAAGGCGCUUUCGGGUGUCGCUGAUGGAUGGACCCGCGGCGCAUUAGCUAGUUGGUGAGGUAACGGCUCACCAAGGCCACGAUGCAUAGCCGACCUGAGAGGGUGAUCGGCCACAUUGGGACUGAGACACGGCCCAAACUCCUACGGGAGGCAGCAGUAGGGAAUCUUCGGCAAUGGACGAAAGUCUGACCGAGCAACGCCGCGUGAGUGAAGAAGGUUUUCGGAUCGUAAAACUCUGUUGUUAGAGAAGAACAAGGAUGAGAGUAACUGUUCAUCCCUUGACGGUAUCUAACCAGAAAGCCACGGCUAACUACGUGCCAGCAGCCGCGGUAAUACGUAGGUGGCAAGCGUUGUCCGGAUUUAUUGGGCGUAAAGCGAGCGCAGGCGGUUUCUUAAGUCUGAUGUGAAAGCCCCCGGCUCAACCGGGGAGGGUCAUUGGAAACUGGGAGACUUGAGUGCAGAAGAGGAGAGUGGAAUUCCAUGUGUAGCGGUGAAAUGCGUAGAUAUAUGGAGGAACACCAGUGGCGAA